GAAGGAUUAAUAUGAGUUACUAUUAUAAUUUUAAAGGUGAAUUUAAAUCUGACUUUAAAUUCCAGGAUCAAAUUAAAUAAUGAUUUUUGUAUACAAAGAAGCCAAAAGCCCAAGAAAACAACCAAAGUGAAUAUAAACAUGCUUCUCUGUUAUAGGGUAAAGCUCGAUUUUUGGGAGUAUACCUCUCCGGGCCCAAUAUUUAAAAGAAUGUUUCCAAGAAAACGAUUUAGCUUUAACAAAAAACUGUUGGAAACAAGAUGUAGCUUCACUGCUUCAGCCUUUCUUGUUGAAUGUUGAGUUUUGGUUUGGGAGUGGGAGACUAGCGAAGUGGUUCCUUGAGAAUCCAUGUAAACAGUUCUGAUUGGUUGAUUCUCAAAGGAGGGGAUCGCCAACAGUGCUUGGCCUCGUUUUUAAUUUUUAAGGGAAAGGGAAAGGGAAAGUGAAUGAAGAAGAGGAAGAGGCUAUCUCUCUCUGCCUUAUAGCUUAAGACACACACUGCCUCCGUUGUUCUCUCUUUCUUCCCCCAACCCAAACCUUUUCGAUCCGGUUUUCCUCCAUCCAGUUCCUACGUCUCUUCAAUCUUCGCCAAUUUCUUCCUUCAUUAUUCUGAGAUAACCAAUCGCUAAGACCCCACCUGAAAUCCUAACCAUAGCUAUUCGAAAUCGUCAUCUGAGAGCAUAGCGACGGUGACGACGCUGGUUAGUUCACCGGUGAAAUAUUUUAUCGACACUUUUUUCUGGUUUGCUUCGUGGAACUCCAUCUCGCGCCGGCUUUCUAGAAAAGUUUCUUCGCUCAUGGAAGCACAAAAACGGAGGUACUCGCCCACGGAACCUGAUCGAAAGGGCUGAAACUAGAUCAAGCUGAGGAUUCUCAGAGCAGUGAGAUCCAGAAAUCCUGUAGGUAACGCCAUCUAUAAUCCUCAACUUUUCUGCUGCCCCCAGAGCUACCGUCAAUCCAAUGUGCUUGAAGCCUAUACCCGCCUUCGAAAAGUCGCGAACUGUUUGUUGGGUGGUGUUGUAAAGUCUUUAGAAGCUGAAAUUACAACAGAAGAAAGAAAGAUAAUGUAGCCUGUUAUAAGAAUGACUAACAUAUGUGAAAAAUAAAUACAUUAUUUUUUUACUUCAUGUUUAAGUAAGCUUUUAUGAAAAAAAAAUAAUAGUACAAUGACAAACAUAAAAUGAUAGAUGAACGAUAUUUAAUGAAAACAAAGGAUUUUUUCGAUGGUAAUUUAUCAAUUUCAGUAGAGUAUUAGAAAUUUUUUUUUAGGUGAAUAAAAUAUAAUGAGUUAGCAAAUUUUAGUUAAUAUUUAGAACCGUUUGAUUUAAUGGAACUCUAAUAGAAAGGUCCAUCGAAUGCCCUAACAAAUAUGUAAUGUCCUAGUGUAGUUAUAAAAGUAAAAAUAUAGAAUUGCAAACAAAUAGAAUCAAAUCAGCCCCUAUGCCAUACAAUUUUGGUGAAUUGUUCAGUUAUUCAAAUAGCAACUUUUAUUAGAAUUUGCGUUUUUUUUUCGGAAAAAAUAAUUUUGCUCAAUAAAAGAGAAAUAACAUUAAAAUUACAGUUAUAUUUUUUCAAUAUUAAUAUGAUAUAUUGAGGAUAUAGAGGAAUAGUGAAAUAGAAUGACGAAACAAGAGUUAAGGAAGUUUUUUAAGAAAAUUUGGCCAAAGAUUUUCCAAUUUUGUGUACUAGUGUCUUGUUGAUAUUUAAGAUUAAGACAGUAUUUUUUUGCUUAUCUGUUGUUUACUAAAAUAAAAGAAUUAAAAAUAUUGAUAAAUUAUAAAAAUAAAUUAAAAUGUAAUAAUACAAUGAUUUAAAAAUUAUAUUUACUUUAUUAGCAUUAGUGCCGUAACCUUGUUAAUUUCAUUCAAAUUGUAAAAAUUUGGAAGAUAAAAAUUUUGAUAUUUGGGUGUAGUUGAAUUAUAAUGACUUUUUUCUAAAAAUUUAGCAUGUAGUUAAAAAAAAGAUUUAUCAUAAUUUUUUUAUGUCAAUGUAUUCAAGACUUUUACUAACGCCGUAUAUUUUCUAUUUUUUUAGGAUUGAUUUUUCUUUGGUUACUAUGAAAGUAGUAUAUAUUGAAUUUUUAUUUUAUAUUUUUUAGUUAUCAAUGUUUUUACAUUUUUAUAUAUUGAUUGUUUGUAUAAAUUGUUAUUUUGUAUAAAAAGGAGAGUUGAAUUUUGUGUAAAAUUUUUGUUAUAUAAUUUAAUAUUAGAUAUCGAUUUCGAAUUUAAAACUAUCCUAAAGGAACAGUGUUUUAUUUUUAAAAGCUAAAACAUAAUGAAACGAAAGUAACUUUGAGAAAGCAAUCUUUUGUGUGAAAAAAAAUAUAUGUUUAUAUGAUAUAUUUUAUAUUUUAUAUGAUAUAUUUUAUAUUUCAUCAGCCAAAAAUUUGAAAUUAUCAUAAAUAAAUGUAUCCAAAACUUUUGUCUCUGAACGUCCCUCUCAUUUCUUUAUGUUUUGGCUAUUAAAAGAAAAAUUUGUUAAUAUGAUUCUAUCAUAUCUUCAUAUUUAACGUCAACUUUGUUUAUUUGUUUCUUCAUGGUAAUUUGGAAUUUCGAACCUAUGUUUAAUAUUAAUUUAUAUAUUAAUAGCACCACACGAAAUUCAACUUUCUUUUUAAAUUUUAUUGAAUACAACAAUUUCUGCAAACAAUCUAUACAUCAAAAUAUAAGAGUUUUGGUAAUGAAAAAAUAUAAAAAUUUUUUUGAUAAUAUAUCAUUUUCAUAGUAUUUAAUGAAAAAUUAAUCCUAAAAUAGUACACAAUAGGUAGCGAUUUAUAAAUUUUGGUGUACGUUGCAUGCAAAAGUUAUGGUAUAUCAUUUUUUAAACUGCUUGUAUUCUAAAGAGUUAGUCUCUGUUAUAAGUAUACUCAAGUGUAAAAUUUUUCUAUCUUUUAAUUUGUUACUAUUUGAAAGAAAUUGUUGGAAUCAUACUGCUCACAUGUUAAUAAAUUUAGUAUGAUUAUUGAUUAGUAAGUUAAUUAUAAUUAUUUUAUUUUUUUUGUGAACAAUUGGAAUUAAGGAAGAGACGAGUACUGUCUUAGACAUUAAUGAGAUACUAAUUGAAUAAUUGGAAGAUCUUUGGCUAAAUUUUCUCGAAAGGUUUCAUAGAUUAUUGUUUCGUCACUUUCUUCAUCCCUAUCCUCUGCAUGUUUUAUUAAUAUUAAAAAAUUGUUAUUGUAAUUUCAUUAUUAUUUUUAUCUUUAGCAAAUUUAUUUUUCUCAAAAAAGAUUGACGUAAAUUUUAGUUGAAGUUGCUAUUUGAAUAUUUCAACUAUUUACCAUAAUUGUAUAGCAUAGGAGGGCUUGACCUGAUUCAAUUUUUUUUUUGUAAUUUUAUGUUUUUACCUUUAUAGUUAUAUCAAUAUGAUACCUAUUCAAUGGAAUAUUAGUUAGAACUUUGUAUGAAGAUUCCAUUUAAUUGGAAAUGUUUUAAAUACUUACAGAAAUUCCCUUGCUCACUAUAUUCUAUUCCCUUACUCCACUCCCUAUUAAUUGAUUAACCACACUAGAGUUAGUGAAUUAUAAUCAGUAAAUCAGAUUACAUCCUUUGUCGUCAUUAAAAGUUGUCCAUCAAUUAUUAUUAUAUGUUUGUCAUUGUAUCAUUGUUUUAUUUGCUAAUAGCUUUUUAAAAGUAAAAUAGGAGAUGGUGUAUUUAUUUCGUACAAGAAAUUUAGAUAUAUCUCUCGGGGUUCUGAUUCUACACUCGACGCUACUUUUGGAUAACCAACAGAAGUCUCCCAGGCCACUCCUGUUUUUUGUAAACUUGCUUGCUUUCUUUAAACACUUGCUUGUUUCAAAGGUAAUGUUUGCCUCUCUGUUUUUUGUCAUCAUUGUCUUAUCUACCUUGAAGUAAAGUAGCUUUGUUAUUUGUUCA